GCCUGGGCCAGCCUGGGCCAGCAUUCCCAGCGGGAUCAGGGCUGGGAGGUGGCAUCUGGGCACUCCAAACAGCAGCUUCAGCAGGGAGGCUGGAUUGGCACAGCCCUGAGCGUGGGACUGAAUCCAUCCCUAAAUUCCCUUCCAGCCCACAGCAUCCCAGGAUUUUAUUCCAUGAUCUCUUCUGUUCCAGGUUGUUUUUAAUGAGGGAAUCCCUUCCCAGCUCCCUGAAAACUCCUCUUCCCCUCCCCUGUUAAAAUCUGAGGCUGCCCCAAGCGAGACUGGAAGAGACUCAGAGCAGGGAUGUGGAACUGAAUCCAUUCCUAAAUUCCCUUCCCACCCAGAGCAUUCCAGGAUUUUAUUCCGUGUUCUCCCAAGUUGUUUUUAAUGAGAGAAUCACUUCCCAGCUCCCUGACAAUCCUUUUCUCCUCCCCUGUUAAAAUUUGAGGCUGCCCUGAGCGGGCUGGAAUUGUCACAGAGCAGAGACCUGGAACUGAAUCCAUCCCUAAAUUCCCACCCAGAGCAUGUCAGGAUUCCAUCCCAGGUUAUUUUCAAUGAGGGAAUCCCUUCCAGGAUUCCAUCCCAGGUUAUUUUUGUCGAGGGAAUCCCUUCCAGGAUUCCAUCCCAGGUUAUUUCCAAUGAGGGAAUCCCUUCCAGGAUUCCAUCCCAG